CUUCUCUCUGCUUGUAAUUCUCACAUAUUCAAAUGCAUGCUUUUCUAUUUUCUUUCCCCCAAUCCUCAAAAUUUAAAGUGCCCACCUCCUGUUUGUUGUUUGGUCGCUGACGAAUUUAAUGCCCACCAUAUUUAAAGCCCUUCCUCUUUCUGUCACUUCCUCUUCUCCCUCCCUCCCUCUCUUUCUCUGUUUCAUUAAUUCUCAUGAAUCACACCGGACAUUGUUAUUGGCGUUCUCAGUGAAGCUUUUACUCCUCUCUGGUUCUUAGUUAUUUUCUGUGUUCUCGGGAAGUGCAUGAGCUCGUGAUGAAUCUACAUGAACAUGUGCCUGAGAUAUUGGUACGGUUCAAUCAGAAGGCAGUGCUUUGUGAUUCUAAAGCUCUGUUAUUUGAUUGAGCCGUGCCAAUAUCACAAGCAGUCCAUUUCUGUGAGAUCGCAAAAGUCCUUCUCUUUAAUUAAGCUCAAUAUGAAGCUUCAAGAAGGGGUGACACAGAAACAUUAUUCAUGUUAUUAUAUAAUCACCGUGGGAAACAAAGCAAUGAAACAUCAAAAGGUAUAUUUGCUCCAACAAAAUGCAGUGCAGCAGUGAAGAUAAGGAAUGAUAUUGCAGGUACGUAGCUGUCUAUGUGAGAAUAGCUUUGAGGCGUGAUCAAGAGAAUGACAUAAUAAAAUACUAAGAUUGAACAUGAGAAGCUACUCUCUCUCUUGUUUGUUUAUUGUGUUAAAGUACACAGCUAGAAAAUGAUGGUGAUAAAGAGGUUUCGUACCAACCAAAGUAAGGUAGGGAAUAGGGGAAGGUGGAAGUGGGAUGAUAUGUGUUUCUUUGGGAUUGAGUUUGCUUCUACUCCAAGGCGCAUCUCUUUUUUGACAAUGCAUUACAUAUAUCAUAUCAGACUAGGUGACCAGAUCCGAUCUUGAUCUUGCUUU